GUGAAGUUUUCUUGUUGUGUUUAAUAUUUGUGUUUUAGUGUAUAGGAAGUAGUUUGCAUUAGGUGCGUUGAUGUCUAGAAUAUUGUGUAUGUGUAUGUUUAGGUUAGCUGGUUUUCUGUUUCCCCGUUGUAACGACAGAUUGUUCAGACAGGUAGAUUGCCAGCUCCCGAAGACCUAGAGUGCCAGGAGUCUUAGGGUUAACUAUUCCGAACAAGAAGAAUAUGCACUGUCCGUAAGAGUUGAUGAUGAUUGACAACAUAACGAUGCAGUGGAAGUUGGUGUUGACAAAUUAACGUUUCAAAUAAAAUCAUUUUCAAUGAAAAAAACAGAACAAAAGAAAACGAAAGACUUUCAACUAGAGAGUGAUUCAGGUUUCUUAAAAGAACGAUUCGCAUAGAGAGGAAGCCAGUGGUCACGAGGUGGUCCAGAUCUGUAGUCUAGCUGUCAUUAAACAUCUUUUAAUUCAUC